rnacentral:lncRNA from 10 species
AUUAAAAGUUCUCAUUUGAAGCAAAUGAAAACAAUAAAUCUAGACUAUACAUUGCUCAAUCCCCUGUAGACCUCAUAAUAAACAUGCAUUUGGAUUAGUGAUUGAAGUACAGAGUAUUUUCCACACAAGUCUGCUUACAACAGCCUUCCUUUCCGUGACACUUGCUGGGUACAAAUUCCAGUUCCUCAAAUGGACACAUUUGUAACAUCUCUGUGUGUAAAUUUUAGUGUAAUAACAACAUCCACACAAUAGAGUAUGAAUAUGAGUUGAUGAAUGUAAAGCAUUUAGAUUAGUGUCUGUAUAUAAAGCAAACAUGUAACAGGUUGCUACUCUUGUUGUUGCUAUGAUUAAUUGCUAGGAAUUUUUAGACUCACUGUCAAACAGUGUGGAAGAAAACUUGCUUUCUUAAAUCCAGGAUAUAGAGUCAUUGAAACAUUUCACUCAUUUUUGUCCUCUCAGGCUUCACCUGGAAGGGAACUUUAUGAUCCAAGAACCUCAAAGGAAGGCCUUUGGAAAAAACACAGAGAACAAAUUUGAAUUUCAGAAAACUACCAGUAAAUGAAGGGCAUAGUAAAAAUUCAAGACAGCUUUGGUCAAAAGAUACAGGAGAAAAGAUGAAUGACUUUCUCAAAAUGGAAACAUCGCACCUCCACUGCUUAAUGACUAUGAUCUUAUCAUAAGGAAGAAUGAUUCUGGGACCUAAAUCGAAAGUAGUUUGUUGUAUUUAUGAAGUGAUGUUAAAAUUAAUGGAUACAAUAUCCCCUUCAAAACCAAGUGAGAGUAGAGCUGGAAAAUGCUUAAUACAAAUCUGGAUUCUUC